rnacentral:rRNA from 1 species
GACGAACGCUGGCGGCGUGCUUAACACAUGCAAGUCGAACGGAAAGGCCCUGCUUUUGUGGGGUGCUCGAGUGGCGAACGGGUGAGUAACACGAGAGUAACCUGCCCUUGACUCUGGGAUAACUUCAGGAAACUGGGGCUAAUACCGGAUAGGAGCUCCUGCUGCAUGGGGGGGGUUGGAAAGUUUCGGCGGUUGGGGAUGGACUCGCGGCUUAUCAGCUUGUUGGUGGGGUAGGGGCUUACCAAGGCUUUGACGGGUAGCCGGCCUGAGAGGGUGACCGGCCACAUUGGGACUGAGAUACGGCCCAGACUCCGACGGGAGGCAGCAGUGGGGAAUAUUGCACAAUGGGCGGAAGCCUGAUGCGGCAACGCCGCGUGCGGGAUGACGGCCUUCGGGUUGUAAACCGCUUUCGCCUGUGAUGAAGCGUGAGUGACGGUAAUGGGUAAAGAAGCACCGGCUAACUACGUG